GAAGUCGUUACUCCAACCCUUGUGGAGGAGGACGCCGAAGGUGGGGCUAAUGACUGGGGUGAAGUCGUAACAAGGUAGCCGUACCGGAAGGUGCGGCUGGAUCACCUCCUAACAGGGAGACAACAAAAUGUAAAUAUUAAUUUUGUCACCUUAGGUCGAUCGGUAUCUCAGAUUCUUAUUAUUUAAGAAUUUCAGUUUCUAAGUUUUUUCUAGGUCACACCCAUCACUUUUUCCUGGGCCAUUAGCUCAGGUGGUUAGGGCGCACCCCUGAUAAGGGUGUGGUCCCUGGUUCAAGUCCAGGAUGGCCCAUAUCUCUAUGUUGGGGGUAUAGCUCAGUUGGUAGAGCGCCUGCUUUGCAAGCAGGAUGUCAGCGGUUCGAGUCCGCUUACCUCCACUGAAUACCACCUCUUACAUAUAGUUGAAGUGGGAAAUUGUUUUGAGUCGUGUCCUAAUUUGCUCUGAGCGAAUCUAGCUUCCUAUUUUAUCCAAGAAAUAAGAUGCUGGACUCAUUGAAUUUUUUUUCAUUGUUUUCAGAGAACCUUGACAACUGCAUAGAUUAUUUUUAAAGACAAUAAGCAUCUUUAAUGAUGCAGAUUUAUUAUUUGUGCGAAUGCAUUAAAUAACAAUUCUAUUAAGCUGAUGCUUCAAUUAUUGAAGUUAUUGGUCAAGCUACAAAGGGCUCACGGAGGAUACCUAGGCACACAGAGGCGAUGAA
rnacentral:misc_RNA from 1 species